GACGAACGCUGGCGGCGUGCCUAAUACAUGCAAGUCGAGCGAAUCUUUUGGGAGCUUGCUCCCGAAAGAUUAGCGGCGGACGGGUGAGUAACACGUGGGCAACCUGCCUAUAAGACUGGGAUAACUUCGGGAAACCGGAGCUAAUACCGGAUACGUUCUUUUCUCGCAUGAGAGAAGAUGGAAAGACGGUCUCGGCUGUCACUUAUAGAUGGGCCCGCGGCGCAUUAGCUAGUUGGUGGGGUAAUGGCUCACCAAGGCGACGAUGCGUAGCCGACCUGGGAGGGUGAUCGGCCAAACUGGGACUGAGACACGGCCAAGACUCCUACGGGAGGCAGCAGUAGGGAAUCUUCCGCAAUGGACGAAAGUCUGACGGAGCAACGCCGCGUGAACGAAGAAGGCCUUCGGGUCGUAAAGUUCUGUUGUUAGGGAAGAACAAGUACCAGAGUAACUGCUGGUACCUUGACGGUACCUAACCAGAAAGCCACGGCUAACUACGUGCCAGCCGCCGCCGUAAUAC
rnacentral:rRNA from 1 species